AAUAUUGCGCAAUGGAGGGAACUCUGACGCAGCGACGCCGCGUGAGCGAUGAAGGUCUUCGGAUCGUAAAGCUCUGUCCUUGGGGAAGAAGGGAGCCGUAAGGCUUCUUGACGGUACCCAUGGAGGAAGCCCCGGCUAACUACGUGCCAGCAGCCGCGGUAAUACGUAGGGGGCGAGCGUUGUCCGGAAUUACUGGGCGUAAAGGGUACGUAGGCGGCUAUAUAAGUCAGGUGUGAAAUACCAGUGCUUAACACUGGAAUUGCAUUUGAAACUGGAAGGCUUGAGUAUCGGAGAGGGUAGUGGAAUUCCCAGUGUAGCGGUGGAAUGCGUAGAUAUUGGGAGGAACACCAGUGGCGAAGGCGACUACCUGGACGAAAACUGACGCUGAGGCACGAAAGCUAGGGGAGCAAACA
rnacentral:rRNA from 1 species